rnacentral:lncRNA from 1 species
UUUACUAAUCAAUUCAAUCAUUUUCUUUUCAAUCUCUUUUGUUUCUUGUAGGUUGGUCCAAUAAGUUGGCCUAUUAGGCAACGAAGUUCCCGGAAUGAGAUCAAUGUGAUGCUCAAUUCCUCUAAAAGGUGGAAAACCGUCAGAGAGACACUUUCUGGAAACACAUUGUCGUAAUCCAUUAAAAGAGACUCAAUACUAGGAGGCAAUUCAAAUUUAUCAAAUUGGUUAACAUACAAAAUCUCACUUUGAUAAAACAGGGGUUACCUUGUGUAAAGCACCCUCCUUACCUCCCCUUCUUUUGCUAAAUAAAGUUGCAUGCCCUCAAAAAUUUAAUUUUCUCUCAUUUUUCUCUCAAUUGCUUCACUCUUUCUCUUUUUCCUUUCAAGUGUUUCACUCUUGCUCUCCACCACUAUCAUUAGAUUGACUUAUGUACUCCCCAUUAUCCUUAAGAAGAACAAUCUUCUUUGUAUGACACUCGUACGAAUAACGUCCCAUGCC